AUGUUCACUUCAGCAACAUAUACUAGGAUUGGAACAAUACAGAGAUUAGAAUGGCCCCGGUGCAAGGAUGGCACACGAAUUGGUGAAGCAUUCCAUAUUAUA
rnacentral:snRNA from 14 species